rnacentral:rRNA from 1 species
UACGAGUGCUCCAAGCGUUAUCCGGAAUCAUUGGGCGUAAAGGGUGUGUAGGUGGUUCUGUUAGUCUUCCGUUAAAUUCUUCGGCUUAACCGGGGGCAUGCGGGGGAAACGGCAGAACUAGAGGAUGCGAGAGGUAAAUGGAACUCAUGGAGUAGGGGUGAAAUCCGUUGAUAUCAUGGGGAACACCGAAAGCGAAGGCAAUUUACUGGCGCACUCCUGACGCUGAGACACGAAAGCGUAGGUAGCGAAUGGG